GGCGGCAUGCUUUACACAUGCAAGUCGGGCGGCAGCGCGGGGGCAACCCUGGCGGCGAGCGGCGAACGGGUGAGUAAUACAUCGGAACGUGUCCCGUAGUGGGGGAUAGCCCGGCGAAAGCCGGAUUAAUACCGCAUAUGCUCUAUGGAGGAAAGUGGGGGACUCGCAAGGGCCUCACGCUAUGGGAGCGGCCGAUGUCCGAUUAGCUUGUUGGCGGGGUAAUGGCCCACCAAGGCGACNAUCGGUAGCUGGUCUGAGAGGAUGAUCAGCCACACUGGGACUGAGACACGGCCCAGACUCCUACGGGAGGCAGCAGUGGGGAAUUUUGGACAAUGGGGGAAACCCUGAUCCAGCCAUGCCGCGUGCGGGAAGAAGGCCUUCGGGUUGUAAACCGCUUUUGGUCGGAAAGAAAAGGCGCACCCUAAUACGGGGCGCUCUUGACGGUACCGGCAGAAUAAGCACCGGCUAACUACGU
rnacentral:rRNA from 1 species